GGAGGAUGACUCAGACGGUUACGAGAACGGUUUGCUAAACCGUGACCCCUUUAAAGGGUCCAGAGGGUUCGACCCCCUCAUCCUCCG
rnacentral:tRNA from 1 species